UACGUAGGGUGCAAGCGUUAAUCGGAAUUACUGGGCGUAAAGCGUGCGCAGGCGGUUCGCUAAGACAGAUGUGAAAUCCCCGGGCUCAACCUGGGAAUUGCGAUGGAGACUGCAAGGCUAGAAUCUGGCAGAGGGGGGGUAGAAUUCCACGUGUAGCAGUGAAAUGCGUAGAGAUGUGGAGGAACACCGAUGGCGAAGGCAGCCCCCCUGGGUCAAGAUUGACGCUCAUGCACGAAAGCGUGGGGAGCAAACAGG
rnacentral:rRNA from 1 species